CGAUUGACGUAGACAGCGAAUUAAAAGUAGUGUAAAAGAGACGAACGACGCUGAUGUUGCCAUUCCAAUAAUAAUGAAAAAAGAAAACACAAGCAAAGAAAACAAAAGCAAAAAAGUGCUCAGCAAUACUACAAAAAUAAAAGUCAACAGCGAUAAAAAAAACACAUUUAUGCGAACUAGUGUAAUUAAAUGUUGUGGCGACUGACAACUCUGACGUCGCCACCAGCACCAUCAUCUCUAUACACAAUCGACGAAGUCCAACCAGAAAAAUUAGCUUUACGAUAAAGCAACAAAAAAAACUACAAAAACCACUGGGUUACAGUAAAACAUGCUGAGUUUUGUUUAAACUUAGGAGCAGAUUUAAAGCAAUCAAUUCUUUAAUAGCUCUGUAUAGAAAACAUUUCUAUUUACUAGGAGGGAAAAAACCAGAGAAAAGGGAAAGCAAUACGUAAAAAUACAGGGAAAAUGACAUUAGCUAAGGCACAGAGAACUUAUUCCAUAUACAAUUAGUUCGACAGUAUGAGUUGGAUGUGUUUUUUAAUUGUUCGUAUUGAGUGGACUAGGCAUUUUGUUUAUUUUUAAUGAAUAGAUAAGAAUGAAUAAUGUAUCUAUGAAUAUUGUUAAACAAAUAUAUACUUUUUUAAAUAAAAUCCAUGGACAAUAAUAUAGUUCCACACUUAAA